GACGAACGCUGGCGGCGUGCCUAAUACAUGCAAGUCGAACGCACUGGGGACGGGUGAGUAACACGUGGGUAACCUCCCAUCAGAGGGGAGAACACUUGGAAACAGGCGCUAACCCGCUAUUGAUGGAUGGACCCGCGGUGCAUUAGCCAGUUGGUGGGGUAACGGCGCACCUAGGCCACGAUGAAUAGCCGGCCUGAGAGGGUGAUAGGCCACACUGGGACUGAGACACGGCCCAGACUCCUACGGGAGGCAGCAGUAGGGAAUCUUCGGCAAUGGACGAAAGUCUGACCGAGCAACGACGCGUGAGUGAAGAAGGUUUUCGGAUCGUAAAGCUCUGUUGUUAGAGAAGCGGUAUCUAACAAGAAAGCCACGGCUAACUACGUGCCAGCAGCCGCGGUAAUUC
rnacentral:rRNA from 1 species